GCUCAGCAUCUGCUGAGUACCGCCAUGUCUGUUGGGCAUCCACAGUCUCCCACCAGGCAUUGUGGUCUCUGUAGAUGCUUUGC
ensembl:miRNA